rnacentral:rRNA from 1 species
UGCCAGCCGCCGCGGUAAUACGGGGCAUGCAAGCGUUAUUCGGAAUCAUUGGGCGUAAAGGGCACGAAGGCGGUCUUGUCAGUCAGAUGUGAAAGCCCGGGGCUCAACCUCGGACGUGCAUUUGAAACAGAAAGACUUGAGUACGGUAGAGGAAAGCGGAAUUCCUGGUGUAGAGGUGAAAUUCGUAGAUAUCAGGAGGAACACCGGUGGCGAAGGCGGCUUUCUGGACCGAAACUGACGCUGAGGUGCGAAAGCGUGGGUAGCGAACAGGAUAAGAUA